AGGGGAAACCCGAGAAAGCAUAUUACGGCCUGUUUAAAUCCGUAACAGUAGAUCAAAAAUGAUCUUCCACUCAUUGUCAUGGUUGUGCUUCUUUAGCGAACAUGGACGUGUUGACGCGGGUGUGCGUGGACUACGAGACGCUGCCCGGCUGGGGCUGCAGCACAGAGGACGCCCGAAGCUUCGAGGAGCUGCCGCUAAAUGCACAGAAAUACAUCCGCUUCAUCGAGGACUUCCUGCAAGUGCCAGUGAAGUGGGCCGGAGUCGGCAAGUCCAGAGAGAGCAUGGUCAAACUGUUUUGAUGGGACCUGUAGUCCUUCUCAAUGUCCGCUCCCAUAAUUCCAGGUUUCCAUAGGAUCACCGGAGGAGUCUCAAAUGCAAAAGCCUCCUACAGGAAUCACGUCACCAGCAAGGCUAUUUGGGAAACAUUUAGUUGCUGCUUCUGCAUCACAUUUUCCAAAAAUUCCUCUUAGAUAUAAUUUAUGCAUUCCACAUGAUGUUCGCUAUAUUUAUUAGGGUGUUCAUUUUUAAAAACUUGGUGCAAAUGGAUUGAUCAUUCUAUUACAUGUAGUUGUUCUGGUUCUUUGUAGCAUCUUAAGCUUACUUACCUUAAUUCAUAUCUGUUCUCCAUUUCUUUUUUGUUACAUAUAUUUGAAGAGCCAGUGAUGAGCAGGUGUAAAGCCUUUAUAUAAAAGGGCACAAUAAAACUAAAGAUCAUUUCCAGGCUUUUUAAAGAAAUGGAAAGAUGAUGGAAAGCCAUCGUUCGAUCAGAUUUUGAACUUUUCUAUUGAUCAAUUUUAAAACGCAUGAAUGCAUCUUGGUUAAGUUUGUAACAAUGUUUUCACAGUGAUUGUUGGAAUGAACUUAGUGCUUUUUAAGUCAUAUUUGAAAAUGAGUAAAUUCACAGCUUGACUUUAAAUGGAUGUUUUUCUUCAUAAUUAUUGAGGAAAAGUAGAAAUGUCCACGUCAACACGGAGUCAUUGGCUGGUCUGUGAAAUGUUUGUGUAAAUGUAAAGACAAUGGGCAGUAAUGUACCGAAGUGUAUCUCAAUAUGUUUCCUACGCCAUUUCAUUCCUCGGCAAUAAUGUAAAAGAAUCUUACUUGGCUUGCUGUUAUCAAUAAAAGGAAACUAACAUCUCA